rnacentral:rRNA from 1 species
UACGUAGGGUGCGAGCGUUGUCCGGAAUUACUGGCGUAAGAGCUCGUAGGUGGUUUGUCGCGUUUGUUCGUGAAAACCUGAGGCUUAACCUUGGGCGUGCGGGCGAUACGGGGCAGACUGGAGUACUGCAGGGGAGACUGGAAUUCCUGGUGUAGCGGUGAAAUGCGCAGAUAUCAGGAGGAACACCGGUGGCGAAGGCGGGUCUCUGGGACGGUACUGACGCUGAGACGCGAAACGUGGGGAGCGAACGG